rnacentral:rRNA from 1 species
CUCGGCGAACUGCUCAGUAACACGUGGAUAAUUUGCCCUUAGGUGGAGGAUAACCUCGGGAAACUGAGAACAAUACUCCAUAGAUCUAGGAUGCUGGAAUGCAUUUAGAUUAAAAGCUCCGGCGCCUAAGGAUAAGUCUGCGGACUAUCAGGUUGUAGUCAGGGUAAAGGCCUGACUAGCCUACAACGGAUACGGGUUGUGAGAGCAAUAACCCGGAGACGAUAUCUGAGACACGAUAUCGGGCCCUACGGGGCGCAGCAGGCGCGAAACCUUCGCACUGUGCGAAAGCGCGAUGAGGGGAUCCCAAGUGCUUGCUCGUAAGAGUAAGCUGUUUUUAUGUCUAAAAAGCAUAGAGAGUAAGGGCUGGGUAAGACGGGUGCCAGCCGCCGCGGUAAUACCUGCAGCUCAAGUGGUGAUCAUUAUUAUUGGGCCUAAAACGUCCGUAGCCGGUUUGGUAAAUGCCUGGGUAAAUCGUGUAGCUUAACUAUACGAAUUCCGGGUAGACCGCCAAACUUGAGACCGGGAGAGGCUAGAGGUACUCCUGGGGUAGAGGUGAAAUUCUGUAAUCCUAGGGGGACCACCAGUGGCGAAGGCGCCUAGCUAGAACGGGUCUGACGGUCAGGGACGAAGCCCUGGGGCGCGAACCGGAUUAGAUACCCGGGUAGUCCAGGGUGUAAACGCUGCUUGCUUGAUGUUAGU